GAUGAACGCUGGCGGCGUGCUUAACACAUGCAAGUCGAACGAUUAAAGCCCCUUCGGGGGUAUAUAGAGUGGCGAACGGGUGAGUAACACGUGAGCAACCUACCUUCUGUACUGGGAUAACUCGAGGAAACUCGUGCUAAUACCGGAUACUCCGUCUGCUCCGCAUGGUGCGGGCGGGAAAGCGCAUACGACAGAAGAUGGGCUCGCGUCCCAUUAGCUAGUUGGUAGGGUAAUGGCCUACCAAGGCGAUGAUGGGUAGCCGGGUUGAGAGACCGACCGGCCACAUUGGGACUGAGACACGGCCCAAACUCCUACGGGAGGCUG
rnacentral:rRNA from 1 species